CCGGCUUUAAAACCACAACAACAGCAACGAGAGGGGAGGAAAAAGGAAAGGAAAAAGGAAAGCGGCGCUCGGACCGCGGCCAUAAGGACCCAUAAUGGGGGAUUUGCGCGUUUUCUUCCUGCGCGGAACCGCAGCGCAGCUCUGGGGGCGAAGACGGCGGAAUUUUGGGCCCUGCUAACGAGCCGAGGGGCGGCCGGGGAUGCGCAGGGUGGGAUCCUGCAGCUCCACAUCGCCAUGGAGAUGGGGUCAGAGCAGCAGCAUCACCCCCCCCCCCCCCAUCCCCAAAACCCCUCAUCGCUUCCAAAUGGGGGGGGGGGGGGAUCCAGGUGAGCCCCCCCCACACACACACAGCCCCAAAAAAUCCUGCUGGAAAGCAGGGUGGAAAUAAAAGCAGAAUAUUCCCGCUUGGGGGACGCGUCCGUGUUUUAUCCUUGUGGUGUUUUCAGGGGUUUCGCAAAGGAGAGAACACACAGCUCUGGGUUGGGUUGGGUUUGUUUUGGGGGGGGGGGGGGGGGGAGAUAUUAUAGGAAACAAUGGAUUACAUCCCAGCUAAUUGCCUGCAGCCUUCUGCAGUGAGGGGGUGGGAUGCAUUAAGGAGAAAAGAGGGCAUCGGGGCACUGCACUGCUGAUGGGGAAGGGGCUUCUCCCACCCCCACCCCCACCCCCCCUCCAAACCUCUGGGGGUGCCACAUUCUGCAGCGGUACCCCACGCAGCCCCCACCACCACCAAGAGAAGGGAUGCUGCCAUAAGGGACUGCAUUCCAUUUUGGGGUAGGUGACGGUAGCCGGGCUGGGAGGAGCUGAGCUCUGAGGGCAUCUGAUGGGAACGGGUGGGAAAUUGGGGGAUGAAGGAUGAGGAAGAGGAGGGGAAUGAAGGGCAGGCCUGGACGGGGUGAUGGAGAGGGAGCCCUGGGGGAGGGCAGGGAGCUCUGAAACAUCUGCUGCCGGAGCCAUAAAGCACUGGGAUUUACUGCUCUCCUCUGCCAGACGCCACGAGAAGGAAUCCCCGUCACAAUGGGGAGCGCGGGGCUGAGUGCCCCAUCCCGGUGUCACCGCCACACCGCACGGAGGGGCUGCCCCACGUCGGGGCAGCGCCCCCUAAACUGGCACGGAUGUAUAGGGGUGACCCCCGAGUCCCGCAUGGUGGCGUCCCCUGGGGGUCACCCCCGAGGAAGAGGCACCCCACAGCCUGAGAGCACAGCUGAGUGACCCCACACAUCCGGGCAGCAUCCCCCAAGGUGCCGCAUCUGGAUGGCGCCCCACAGCUGGAUGGCGCCCCACAGCUGGACAUCUUCAGUGCUGCACACAUCUGGACGGCGGGGCGUCACAUCUGGGCAUCCUCUGAGGGCAGAACCCCAAACCUGGGCUCCUCCCAUUGUGUCCCCCCCCCACACACACACACAGUUGGACACCUCCAGGGAAGGACCGCCGCACAUCUGGAUCCCCUCCCAUGGUAGCACCCCACAUCUGGACACCCCCGCCCUCCGUUGGCGCCCCCAUUGGGAUGCUCUCCCUCAUCGCCACCCCACAUCUGGGCACCCCAGCAAAGCAUCGUCCCACAUCUGGGCGUCCCCCCUAUAAUAGCACCUCACAUCUGGGCACCCCAACUAGAUGGCACCCCACAAAAGCAUCGCCCCACUUCUGGGCACCCCCCUUAUAGUAGCACCCCAUAUCUGGGCACAGCAACAGGACUGCAUCCUACACACGGCCCCCAAAGCAAAGCAUCACCCCACAUCUGGGCACCCCAACAAUGCAUUACCCCAUAUCUGGGCACCCCCUCAUAGUAGAACCCCACAUCUGGGCACCCCAACAAAGCAUCACCUCAUAUCUGGGCACUCCCCCCGUAGUAACACCCCACAUCUGGGCACCCCAACAGGAUGGCACCCCACAUCCAGCUGCCCCAGCAAGGCGGUACCCCACUUCUGUGUCCCCCCACACACACAUACAUCUCCCCCCCCCCAUCCACGUGCCCAAAGCCACACACUGCAGCUGGGUCUCUCUCUGCUCCUGACCUUUGCAGGGCCCUCCCCACUUUUAUUUACCCACAUUUGGAACAAACCAAUACAACAAAACGUCCCUCCCCUCCAUGGAAGACGCAUUCCAGACAGCGGAGGUGUUUGGGUUCACCUCCCAGUGCCCCCCGACAGCUCCUCGGCCCCAUAGAAAUAAUGGGGGUGAGGUGGGGGGGGGGGCACUUCUGGGCUCUGCCCCACCCCAAAGCCGGGCUGGGAGAUCCGAUCCCCCCAUUUGUGGGGCUGAGGUGAGACCCCCACUUCUCACCAUCGCUCUGCAGCUCUCCCCUUAUUACCCCCCCCCCCCCCCCCAAUAUCUCUUCCCUUUAAAACCACUUCGAUUCUUUUUUCUCAUUAUUUUAAUGAGGUUUCCUCGGGAUUUUUCUCCUUUUUUUUUUUUUUAGGGGGGUGAAAAGGAUAAAAGAGUAAAAUAUAUGGGGAAAAAAUAAUCGGUGCUGUGCAUAUAAUGGGGGCUCCGGGGGGGGGGGGAGAACUUUGGGUGUAUCCGUGUGCACCCGGACAUGGACACACACAUAUGCACGCGAGAACACAUUUAGCUCCAUCCCAAUUACCCAGCUGCAUGUCUAAUUACAGCUCUGCGCAAUUACACCUCCGCAAACCCCGCUGCCCAUUAGCGCCGAAUCCUCCGCGGAUUAUCGCUAAUAAAUAUCGCUAAUAAUUAAAGAUGCUCCUGAAGUGCUGAUGAGGUGUUUAAGCCCCGAGUGGGAAAACAGCGAAGCCCGAACCGACCCAUGAGGUGCCCCCCCUCCAACCCCCCCCCCCGGCAUCAGAAUGGGGAUUUCAGCCCUAAAUUCGCUGUGUGCUGAGGCCCUUUUUUCCUAUUUAU
rnacentral:lncRNA from 1 species